rnacentral:lncRNA from 1 species
UUAUCAUUUCAGUGACUCCAUUAGCUCGAUCGGAUGUCAUAGUGUAGGGUUUCACUGUUUCAACUUGAAGAUUAAGUCAUGGCCACCUUAAGACCCCUCUAAUCUGGUCUAAAUCAUCAAACCAGAUAUGCGUAACACCUCACUCAGCAUUUAGAAAAAAAAAAAACAAUGUCAUGCUAAUGUGGCUUUCAUAAUCAUCAAUUUAACCUGACACUACAAAAACAGGUUAAUCUUUGUCUGAAUUUCUGUGUGCUUUAACUGAACCAUGGUUUUUUCACUAUCUCCCUAUACUUGAUUAAUUAAAGCCUAUAAUGGGUUCACAAGCUUGAACCAUAACUUUGUGGUUGUUGCUUCCUCAACCUUCAUUAAGCAUGAGUUCACAAUUUGAAGAUAAUACACGUCUAGAACUUUACCUUCUAUGUCCGGCGAAUUUAGCUGGCUUUAGGUUUAACAGGUUUCAAUACUUAAAUAGAAAUCGAUACAAAAUCAUGUUUGCCAAUCAGGCAAUCACAGACCUCAUGUUUUAAUGUACUUUUUUCUCUCAAACUAAUAGUCAUAUUUAAAUAUACUUUCAUGUUACUAAGAAGGUUUUGUUUCAAUGACAAGGAAAAUAUUCCAAAAAUGUUUAAAUUUCAUAUUCAAUUUCAUCAUAAGAAAUUUUGUCAAAUUAUAACUUUCAUGUUGCUAAGAAGGUUUUGUUUCAAUGACAAGGAAAAUAUUCUAGAAAUGUUUAAAUUUCAUAUUCAAUUUCAUCAUAAUAAAUUUUGUCAAAUUAUAUGUUAGAUUUGGUUUGUUUAUUAAUUUUUCUUUGAUAUGUUAAAAAUUUUGUUAUAAUUUUUAUAUAAAAAACACUUGCGUACAGAUUUUUUUAAUUUCCAAACUAGAGGCUUGCCGCUUUGGAAAAAAUCCCGGCGGGCUCGACUAAAGUGUUGGUUUCGUUCGUGGCAAAUGACUAUUGCUUGCAAUUAGUUUGUGGAUGAAUCCCAGGCCUUUAUUCCUUAGGAUAAGAAUGGGCCUCUCGGAGUAAGGAAGUUGGUGGUUUGAUCAAACAAAUUAAAUAAUAAUACUUAAUUUGUGCCAGUUGGGUCUUGCAAGUCUCAACCUUGACUGGG